rnacentral:lncRNA from 1 species
GGGCAGGGACGCUGAUGAGUGCCCGUUCUUGCUUCUCAAGCUCUUAAGGCAACAAUUCCAUUACCAUCGCUAGUUCUCGCUCCAGCACAGGGAGGACGGAAUGGCUCUGCCUGUCAUCAGAUGAGGGGAGUCCACUCAGGGCUGUUAGUCCUUUAGCAAAGGCCACAGAUGGGUGAGCAGCAGAAACGACAUGGGAGCUGAGGCCGGGACCCACAGCCAACGUGCUUUUGCUCCAUCAAUUGAGAUGAUCAGUUUUUCUUUUUUAAAAAAAUCUUUUCAGAAGAUGAAUUACAUUCGUUAAUUUUCAAACGUUGAACCAACCUUUCACUUCUGGGGAUGUGACUGGGAAAAAGAAACACAGGACCACAGGAACGUCUGUGACCCAUGCUUUCUCUAAAGAAGGCAUCAGGGCUUCAAUAUUUAGAGGGGAAAAAAUGGGCAGGAGAGGAAAGAAAAAAGGGGAGGAUACGGUCACCUUCUCGCGAAGCUCUGAUGAGGGCUCCGUAAAUCCAUAUGCUGCCAUGGAAAGAACGGGGCAGACGGACGGUCACCUAUGCGUUCCUCUCCUGCUCAGCGAGCAUGCUUUUGACAGGAGGAAGAGCAAAUGGGGCAGUCACGCACGCAUUUGUCUCGGGUGAGGGAGAAAUGACGUCCAGUCCUGCCUUUGUCCUGUGCCUGUGAAGAUAAGCUGUGAAUUCACAUUGUCAGGGUGAAAUUCAACAGAACAUUGUUUUAGGGUAAAGAUCUUGGGGCCCACAGGGAGGUACCUUGUGAGAAAACUGAGGGAGGCCGCCUAGGGAGGUAUGUGGCCUUCUAUCUAUCUACUUAGGAACAAAGCAGGAGGCAGUUAACCCAAGGUUAACUUUUCCCAAUGGCUUAGUGAGUUUGGGGCCCCAAGAUUUUGAUUUUCUGUUUACAUGUUCUCAAAGAACCAGCUAUUGGCCUUAUUGAUUUGACUAUCUCCGUUGCAUCUUGUGUUCUAUUUUGUGUUUAUUAGCUCUUUCCCUCUACUUUCUUUGAGCUCAUUCUUUUGAGUUUCAUGCAUAGCUCAUGUUCAGUCUCUUUUCCUCUCUAACACAGGCACUUAAAGUCUACAUUUACCUUGAAGUGUUUCUUCAGCUGCAAGCCACAUUUUGAUAUAAAAUUUUUCAUUACUGUUCAGAUAUCAGUUUCUCUAAUGUUUGUUAAUAAUUUCUUUUUUGACCUAUGUGGUAUUCAGAAGUCUGUUUUAAAACUUCCAAAUGUUAGCCAGGCAUGGCUUACACCUGUAAUCCAGCCACUUUGGGAGGCUGAGGCAGGAGGAUCGCUUGAAGCCAAGAGUUCAAGACCAGUCUGGGCAACAUAGUGAGACUCUAUUUCUACAAAAAAUAAAUUUCCAAAUACAUGCAGGGUUUUAAAAGUUAUCUUCUUGUUACUAAUGUCUAAUAUAAUUUUACUGUGGUCAGAUAAUUUGAUACUAAUUUUUUAUUUCUUCAGACUUGUUUGUGGCUAGAAUGUGGUCAGUCUUCUAACUAAAGUCAGAAGGUUAUACAAAUUUCUGCCAGAUUAAGCUUGCUAAUGGUGCUUUUCAAAUUUUCUAUACAUUUGAUAAUUAUUUUGACUGCUUAAUCCAUCAAUAUUGAGAAAAAUGUGUUAAAAAUCUACUAGUAUGUUUAUGGAUUGCAAAUCCCAAACCCUAUAACUAAAAAAUUAUAUAGGUAAAACUAAAAAAUUAUAUCUAUUGAAGUUAUUAAUAUAUUAUUAUUUACUUUUUUUUUUGAGACAGUUUUGCUCUUUUUGCCCAAGCUGGGGUGCAAUGGCGUGAUCUCGGCUCACUGCAACCUCUGCCUCCUGGGUUCAAGUGAUUCUCCUGCCUCAGUCUCCCAAGUAGCUGGGACUACAGGCGCCUGUCACCAUGCCUGGCUAAUUCUUCUGUUUUUAAUAGAGACGGGGUUUCAGCAUGUUGGCCAGGCUGGUCUCGAACUCCUAACCUCAGGGGAUCCUUCUGCCUUGGUCUCCCAAAGUGCUGGGAUUACGGGUGUGAGCCACCUUGCCCGGCCUGAAGUUAUUAAUAUUAUUAAAUGUACCUAAGUUUAGAAAUCGUUUUAUCUUCCUGGCAAAUUAUUACUUUCAUCAUUACACAAUAGCCUUAAUAUAUUCCUAAAUAACAUUUUGCCAUCAAGUAUAUUUUGUGUGAUAUCAACUUAGCACCACUAGCUUUCUUUUCAUGAAUAUUUCCCUAGCAAACAUUUUUUUUGGGGUGGGAGUGGGGUAGGGCUGGCAUUCUUUUGCUUUCAACCUUUGAGUCCUUUUAUUUAGGACCCAGAAAUAGCACAUAUUUAGAAAUACCACAUAGAUGAAUUUUUUUGGGGGGGGCUGGGAUCUAAUCUGAGGAUCUAUUUCAUCUGAAAACAUUAGUUCAUUGAUGUUACUGUGCUAAUCCAUUAGAAAAUAUUUUUACCCCUUAGUUUGGAUUUUCUAUUCACUUUCCUUUUUGUGUGCUUCACCAAUCCCCUUCCAUGUUAGUUACUCCUACUGAUUUUUUAAUUCCUCACCAACAUACACUGCUAUGAAAGUUUUCUAUUCUACAUCUAUUCUUUUUUAAAAAUUAAAACACAAUUUUUCAUUUUAAAAGAAUUUCAGACAUAAAAAUGUUUUAAAAAUAGAAUGAAGAAUUCCCAUAUUCCUUGUCCUCUCCCAGCUUCUCCAAGUAUUAAUAUCUCAAAUAGCCACAACACAAUGAUCAAAAGCAGGAAAUUAACAUUGAUAUACUAUUGUGAGCUAAUUUACAGAUCUUACGAAAAUUUCACCGGUUGGCUCACUGACGUCCUUUUUCUGGUUCAAGAUCCAAUCCAGGACCACACAUUGCAUUUAAUUGUCACGUCUCCAAUCUGGGGUAGUUCCUCAAGUCUCUGUCUUCUGUGACCUUGAUAAUUCUGAAGAGUAUUGGUUGGGUAUUUUGUAGAAUGUGCCUCAAU